UAGGGAAUCUUCCGCAAUGGGCGAAAGCCUGACGGAGCAACGCCGCGUGAGUGAUGAAGGUCUUCGGAUCGUAAAACUCUGUUAUUAGGGAAGAACAAAUGUGUAAGUAACUAUGCACGUCUUGACGGUACCUAAUCAGAAAGCCACGGCUAACUACGUGCCAGCAGCCGCGGUAAUACGUAGGUGGCAAGCGUUAUCCGGAAUUAUUGGGGGUAAAGCGCGCGUAGGCGGUUUUUUAAGUCUGAUGUGAAAGCCCACGGCUCAACCGUGGAGGGUCAUUGGAAACUGGAAAACUUGAGUGCAGAAGAGGAAAGUGGAAUUCCAUGUGUAGCGGUGAAAUGCGCAGAGAUAUGGAAGAACACCAGUGGCGAAGGCGACUUUCUGGUCUGUAACUGACGCUGAUGUGCGAAAGCGUGGGGAUCAAACAGG
rnacentral:rRNA from 1 species